rnacentral:misc_RNA from 1 species
AACUUUUAACAACGGAUCACUUGGUUCUGGCAUCGAUGAAGAACGCAGCGAAAUGCGAUAAGUAAUGUGAAUUGCAGAAUUACGUGAAUCAUCGAAUCUUUGAACGCACAUUGCGCCCGCCAGUAUUCUGGCGGGCAUGCCUGUUCGAGCGUCAUUUCAACCCUCAAGCCCCCGGGCUUGGUGUUGGGGAUCGGCCGCCCUCUGGCGCGCCGGCCCCGAAAUCUAGUGGCGGUCUCGCUGUAGCCUCCUCUGCGUAGUAACACACCUCGCACCGGAACGCAGCCUGGCCACGCCGUUAAACCCCCCACUUCUGAAGGUUGACCUCGGAUCAGGUAGGAAUACCCGCUGAACUUAAGCAUAUCAAUAAGCGGAGGCU